ACUUUCAGUCGUGAGGAAGGUAGUGUAGUUAUAGCUGCAUUAUUUGUACGUUAGCGACAGAAGAAGCACCGGCUAACUCCGUGCCAGCAGCCGCGGUAAUACGGAGGGUGCGAGCGUUAAUCGGAAUUACUGGGCGUAAAGCGCAUGCAGGUGGUUUGUUAAGUUCAGAUGUGAAAGGACCCGGGGCGUCAACCUACGGAAUAGCAUUUAGUAAACUAGGCAGACUAGAGUACUGUAGAGGGGGGUAGGAAUUUCAGGUGUAGCGGUGAAAUGCGUAGAGAUCUGAAGGAAUACCGGUGGCGAAGGCGGCCCCCUCGGACAGAUACUGACACUCAGAUGCGAAAGCGUGGGGAGCAAACAGGAUUAGAUACCCUGGUAG
rnacentral:rRNA from 1 species